rnacentral:rRNA from 1 species
UACGUAGGGGACGAGCGUUAAUCGGAAUUACUGGGCGUAAAGCGUGCGUAGACGGUUAUUUAAGUCGGGUGUGAAAGCCCCGGGCUCAACCUGGGAAUUGCAUUCGAGACUGAAUAGCUAGGGUACGGUAGAGGGAAGUGGAAUUUCCGGUGUAGCGGUGAAAUGCGUAGAUAUCGGAAGGAACAUCAGUGGCGAAAGCGACUUCCUGGACCAGUACCGACGUUCAGGCACGAAAGCGUGGGGAGCAAACAGG